GCCCAGGUGGUGGAAUGGCAGACACGUACGUUUGAGGGGCGUAUGGAGCAAUCCGUGGGGGUUCGAGUCCCCCCCUGGGCACAA
rnacentral:tRNA from 2 species